CGAGGACAGGGAGGUGGUGAUUCCAAGGAUCCUUCUUCCUGACACUGGGUUCCGGGAAGAAAGCUGGAUGUGGACACUGUCUAGGCGGGUGACACCUGCGACUAUGAUUCGGGUUUCCGGUCCAUUCCGAGGGCCUCUGGGCUUGGCAUGAAGAACAUUCCACGAAGGUGGGACUAUCCAGGACUGCUGAGGAGGGCGGCUUUAGAACGAACGUGGAGAGGGAUGGGAAAUCUCAUCCCCAUGGAAACAGCAAUGGUGGCCUUGGAUCGUGAGCAGAGCGCAGAAUAAAUUAGAAAACAAGAACCCCGUUCCCUCCGAUAUCCGUUUAUUAGAAGGACUCGGUGACGAAGGAAGAUAUAAAUUGGAAGCAAUGCUGCAUUUGAGGAAGCUGGUAUGAUGGAGUGGGUGGUUUCGAGAGGGUAAUCCAGGCAGACUUCCUGGAAGAGCUCGUGCAGGGGCACCCGAGUCACAGGUGGAAGAUGAGAUCAGGUCCGGGCACGGCUGGAGAUCAUUGAUCCCACCUUGGGGUGGAAGAGUCUGGAUUCCCAUGACAAGUGUCCGGGUUGGCAGAAGAA